UUGAUUCAUUGCAUCUAUUGUUUGUUUAACAGAUAUGGCAAAUAAACGAUUUCGAACUUGCAAUAUUGAGAAUGAGUCACAGCUCAAGCGAUCAAAUGGCUCUUCAUAACCUAGCCAACAAAAUAAUUCUUCACAGCUUAACUCACCAAGAGGAACUUCACAACCUAGUCAGAGUUCUGUACUUAAGAGGAAUAGCAGAGGCGAGGAAAUAAGACAAUAUGGAAGCAUCAAACAAUGGACGCCAUUUCUCGAUUUGAGUACUAUUGUCAUGUGACAAGUUUAUAUGUACUUUUUAGAUUAUGGUGUGGCUAUUAGUUUGUUAGAAAUAUUUGAUCUAUUUUGGUAUGACAAGCUGAUGUAAUGAACCUUUUAAUUAAGGUGUUUUGGAUAAUUUGGGAUUAUGAAAAUGCAAAUGCUUUCACCUUUUACAA